ACGAUGCAUUCACCCAGCAUGUUGCUUGGGGGUAUUAUUAUAUUUAUUGAUAUAGUUUUAUCUUCAAGCAAUAUCAGAGGUGGAAUAUUCAACA
rnacentral:pre_miRNA from 1 species